UUUCAAUUCUGGAAGUCCCUCUAGUGGCUGUCUGGUAGACAGCCACUUGAGGAGGAGUUAACCCUCAGAAGUGAUUAUUGCAGUGUAUAAAAACUGCAAUAAUUACCACUGCAGGGUUAAGGGUGAUGGGAGUUUGCACCCAGACCACUUCAAUGAGCCGAAGUGGUCUGGGUGCCUACAGUGUCCCUUUAACUCAAAUGUUAAGCCAAAUAUCAGACAAAAAGCAUGGAUUGAAAAAAACAAAACAAAUAAAACUGAGAUAAUUGUUUUCUGAUAGACAAACUUUUUAUAUGACAAAACAAAAUCAAUAUAAGCAGUAAUAUAGAGAGGGAAGUUUCUUUCAAAUAUUUUUUAUUUUUUAAAUAUAUUGAAUUAUAUGAGAAAAAAAUAAUAAUAAACAAUGUAAUCAACUGUAUCAUGUAGUGGUCAUAAAUUUAAAUAAAGAUACAUAACCAAAAUAUAUUGGAGGAUUUCAGAAACUUGAAGCUGUUACAGUAAGUGUAUUAAUACUAUAAUGACCUAUAAGUUUCAGUUUUAAAACUAAGCUUUUAAUACUUAAAAGAAACAGAAGGAAAUCAGAAAUGCACGGACCUUGGUCAGUACUUCCUGUUCUAAUUUUCCAGUCUCUCCAUGACGGCAGCAUGUUAUCGUUCGGCCUGCUAUUGGUGAAGGCAUCUGUCAGGCAGCGCUCUCCAUACAGUGUAAACUUAAAGGACAAAUGUCACCUCA